AUACCAGAGCUCAGUGACAUGCAAGCUUAAAGCAAUAUGGAAUUGCUAUACAUUAGAAAGCAGUUGGCUAAAGUCAGCAAUACAAUGAAUGGCAGUCAAUUUCCCCCAACAUGUCUUGAGUUGGAAGGCUGGAGAGGGAGCAGUAGCCAGAGCACCAGUACCUGAGGAAGCACCAGCAGCUGGAACUGAAGAGCCAGAGGGGACAACGGCAACUGGAACUGAAGAGCCAGGAGAAACUGGAGCAGCUGGAGCAUUAGGAGAAAUAAUGGCAAUUCAUGCUAGAGAUAGCCAGGUUCAAGGUCGAUGUACGCUUG
rnacentral:lncRNA from 1 species